rnacentral:rRNA from 1 species
UACAGAGGGUGCAAGCGUUAAUCGGAGUUACUGGGCGUAAAGGGCGCGUAGGUGGUUAUUUAAGUUGGAUGUGAAAUCCCUGGGCUUAACCUAGGAACUGCAUUCAAGACUGGAUAGCUGGAGUAUUGUAGAGGGUAGUGGAAUUUCCGGUGUAGCGGUGAAAUGCGUAGAGAUCGGAAGGAACACCAGUGGCGAAGGCGGCUACCUGGACAAAUACUGACACUGAGGCGCGAGAGCGUGGGGAGCAAACAGG